rnacentral:rRNA from 1 species
GAUGAACGCUGGCGGCGUGCCUAAUACAUGCAAGUCGAGCGAACAGACGAGGAGCUUGCUCCUCUGACGUUAGCGGCGGACGGGUGAGUAACACGUGGAUAACCUACCUAUAAGACUGGGAUAACUUCGGGAAACCGGUGCCAAUACCGGAUAAUAUAUUGAACCGCAUGGUUCAAUAGUGAAAGACGGUUUUGCUGUCACUUAUAGAUGGAUCCGCGCCGCAUUAGCUAGUCGGUAAGGUAACGGCUUACCAAGGCAACGAUGCGUAGCCGACGUGAGAGGGUGAUGGGCCACACUGGAACUGAGACACGGUCCAGACUCCUACGGGAGGCAGCAGUAGGGAAUCUUCCGAAAUGGGCGAAAGACUGACGGAGCAACGCAGCGUGAGUGAUGAAGGUCUGCGGAUCGUAAAACGCUGUUAUUAGGGAAGAACAAAUGUGUAAGUAACUAUGCACGUCUUGACGGUACCUAAUCAGAAAGCCACGGCUAACUACGUG